UUCCGUCAAACACCAUGAUAGAGCUGGACUUGGGAAGCCAAAGGGUCAGAGACACCCAUCCCAGCUGAUGUUGAAGCUGAGUCUCCAAGGAUAAGCGGGAUCUGGGAAGGUCAAGGAGAAAGGAGACUCCAGAGAGGCAUGAAGCAGCUGGAAAUGCAGUCUGACCCCAGCCCUUCCUGAGGCCUUUCCGGUCAGCCCACGUGGGCAAUGCACUGUCAGCAUCUGGCUUCUUGAACUUCCUCCCUUUCCCAGAUGCUCCUACUGUGGGCUGGGAUCACGUGUCUGCCUCUGACUGCAGUUAAAUCCAGAUGUCAGCUGACUUCUGCCACAGAUUCACUGUGUAACCUGGGUAGGCCCAACUUCGGAGACCACCCUUAAACAUCAGUAGACUGGGAGCUGUACGUGGAUGGAAGCAGCUUUGCCAACCCCUGCAAAGUGACUCUGAAGAAGAUGGCAAGCCCUGCUCCAGUCACACCCGGAAGCUGACUGGUCCACGCACGGCCAAAGCAUGAGGAAACUCAUCCCGGGACUCAUUUUCCUUAAAAUUUGGACUUGUACAGUAAGGACUUCAACUGACCUUCUUCAGACUGAGGGCUGUUCCCAGUAUAUACAUCAGGUCACUGAGGUAGGACAAAAGAGUGCUACAGUCCUAUUAUUUUAUAGUUAUUAUGAAUGCCUAGGAACUCCAAAAGGAACCUGUUUGUAUAAUAACACUCAGUACAAAGUAUGUAAUCUAGGAAGUGACCAGUCCGAUGUGUGCUAUGACCCCUCUGAACCUCCCAUGAUCACAGUCUUUGAAGUAAGACUAGGGACUGGUCCUUUUCUAGGUGACACAAGUGAAGUAAUAGCUAGGACAGAAGAAAGAGUGGUCCCCAAAAAUGUAACCUUAAAAUUUGACACCUGUGCCACUAUUAAUAGUAAACAGCAUGGGAUAGGAUGCGGUUCUCUAGAUUGGGAAAAAAGUUGCAUAGCAGAAAAUAAGUACAUUUGUCAAAAAUCAUAUUUAUGUGAGAUGUGUCAAUACUAGUCUUGUGUCAUUUGGGCUACUUGGAAAGAAGAUAAAAAAAGAUCCUGUUUGGCUCCAAAAAGGAAAAGUCAGCCCCUCCUGCAUGAGUGGGAGCUGCAACCCUUUAGAAUUGAUAAUCACAAACCCCUCAGACCCAAAGUAGAAUAAAGGAAAAUAUGUAACAUUAGGCAUUGAUGGAAAAGGACUAGAUCCUAGUGUAAGCAUCCUAAUAAAAGGAGAGGUUCAAAGACGCUCUCCAGAACCAGUAUUUCAGACUUUCUAUGAUAAACUAAAUGUGCCAGUAUCUGAGAUUCCAGGAAAAACUAAAAAUUUGUUUUUGCAAUUAGCCGAGCAUGUAGCCCAGUCUCUAAAUGUCACUUCAUGUUAUGUUUGUAGAAGAACCGUAACAGGAGAUCAAUGGCCAUGGGAAGCCUGAGAAUUAGUUCCCACAGGCCCAGUUCCUGAUGAAUUCCCAGCCCAAAAGAACCACCCUGACAAUUUUUGGGUUCUGAAAGUCUCAAUUAUUGGAUAGUAUUGCAUAGCUAGAGAAGGAAAAGGAUUCACUCAUCCUUUAAGGUGGCUUAGUUGUCUUAGGCAAAAGCUGUAUAAUGGUACCACAAAAACAGUUACAUGGUGGAGUUCCAAUUACGCAGAAAGAAAUCCAUUCAGUAAAUUUCCAAAGUUGCAGACUGUUUGGGCCCACCCAGAAUUCCACCAGGACUGGACGGCCCCCACCAGGUUAUACUGGAUAUGUGGACACAGAGCUUAUGCUAAGCUGCCUGAUCAGUGGACAGGUAGCUGUGUAAUUGGCACCAUUAAGCCAUCUUUCUUCUUACUGCCCAUAAAAACAGGUGAACUUCUAGGCUUCCCAGUCUAUGCUUCCCACGAAAAACGAAGCAUAGCAAUACGUGAUUAGAAAAAUAAUGAAUGGCCCCCUGAAAGAAUCAUACAAUACUAUAGACCCGCCACUUAGGCACCAGAUGGCUCAUGAGGAUAUCGAACCCCCAUCUACGUGCUCAACCGAAUCAUACGGUUGCAAGCUGUUUUAGAAAUUAUUACUAAUAAAACCGGUCAAGCCUUAAUUGUUCUUGCCUGGCAAGAGACUCUGAUGAGAAAUGCUAUCAAAAUACACUAGCUCUUGACUACUUGCUAGCAGCUGAAGGAGGAGUUUGUAGAAAAUUUAACAUUAUUGGCUGGGCGCGGUGGCUCACGCCUGUAAUCCCAGCACUUUGGGAGGCCGAGGUGGGCGGAUCACGAGGUCAGGAGAUCAAGACCAUCCUGGCAAAUACAGUGAAACCCCGUCUCUUAAAAAAAAAAAAAAAAGAAAGAAAGAAAAUUUAACCUUACUAAUUGUCUACACAUAGAUGAUCAGGGGCAAGUAGUUGAUGACAUAGUUAAAGACAUAACAAAACUGGCACAUGUACCCAUGCAAGUGUAGCACGGAUUCAACCCUGAAGCCAUGUUUAGAAGGUGGUUCCCAGCACUAGGAAGAUUUAAAACUCUUAUAAUAGGAGUUAUAAUAGUAAUAAAAACCUGCUUACUGCUCCCUUGUUUGCUACCUGUACUUCUUUAAAUGAUAAAAAGCUUCAUCGCUACAUUAGUUCACCAAAAUGCUUCAGCACAAGUGUACUGUAUGAAUCACUAUCAAUCUAUUGCACAAAAAGACAUAAGUAGCAAAAAUAAGAGUGAGCACUCCCACUAAUAAAAAGUGAGAGCCUCAAAGGGGGAAAAUGACAGAAGAGAGAGACCCUCUCAUAUUGUUUUAUAUUGUUUUAUACUCAGUACCCGUUUUUUUUUUUUUUUUUAAAAGAGGGUAGUGAAACAAAGACAGGCAGCCCAGCCAGGCCCAAAACCGGACCUGGGCCUGCCUGGCCUAAACCUAGUAGUUAAAAAUCAACUCAUGACUUAGAAACCAAUGUUGUUCAUAGAUUCCAGACAUUGUAUAGAAGAACACUGUGAAACUCCUUGCCCUGUUCUGUUUCUCUCUGACCACUGGUGCAUGCAGCCCUUGUCAAGUACCGCUUGCUUGCUCAAAUCAAUCACGACCCUUUCAUGUGAAAUCUUUAGUGUUGUGAGCCCUUAAAAUGGACAGAAAUUGUGCAUUCGGGGAGCUCGGAUUUUAAGGCAGUAGCUUGCUGAUGCUCCCAGCUGAAUAAAGCCCUUCCUUCUAC